GCCCUCUGCUCGGUCCUGCGGUGGCCCACUGCCCUCCUACCGUCCACCAUGGCCCUGCUGCACUCCGGCCGCGUCCUCUCCGGGAUCGCCGCCGCCUUCCACCCGGGCCUCGCCGCCGCGGCCUCUGCCAGAGCCAGCUCCUGGUGGACCCAUGUGGAAAUGGGACCUCCAGAUCCCAUUCUGCCUUCCAGUGGACUCCCAGAAUUGGGUGUAGGAGCCUUCACUAUGGUCUGCAAAGAUGCGGAUGAAGCCAAAAGGGUAGAGUCACAGUUGAAGAUCUUGAUCCGUCCCAUGUAUUCCAACCCUCCCCUCAAUGGGGCCCGGAUUGCUGCUGCCAUUCUGAACACCCCAGAUUUGCGAAAACAAUGGUUGCAAGAAGUGAAAGGCAUGGCCGACCGCAUCAUUGGCAUGCGGACUCAACUGGUCUCCAACCUCAAGAAGGAGGGUUCCACCCACAACUGGCAACACAUCACUGACCAAAUUGGCAUGUUCUGUUUCACAGGGUUAAAGCCUGAACAGGUGGAGUGACUGACCAAGGAGUUCUCCAUCUACAUGACCAAGGACGGCCGCAUCUCUGUGGCAGGGGUCACCUCCGGCAACGUGGGCUACCUUGCCCAUGCCAUUCACCAGGUCACCAAGUAAUGUCCCUGGUGCAAGGAAACAGAGACAACCUUUCUGUCUUCAGCCUCUGCUAUUGAGAGCUUCACACAGACGAUGAGAGAGGGUGGAUGGUGGUGAGUGGAUCGUUUCUUUCAACCACAGUGUGUAACACUCAGCAUUUGAAUGUUUCUCCGAAAAGAACAUGUAGUGACACAGGGCAGAGGCAUCCGUGGCUGGUGUCUGGAACAUUAAACCAAACUCUCUCCCCUGUCCUUUUAUCUCCAACUUUUCUCAAAGAGUUUACAUGUGCAAGAAAGUCAUCGCACCAAAAAACCUGUCAAUUAUGCCAUUGCAAUAUUUCAGAAGCUUUAACUGAAGUGUCAGGUUCCUUGUGAGAAAUAGCACACGUUAGAGGCUUUGAGAGAAGACCUAGUUCUGUCGUGAGCAGUCGACCUUGUGUCUGUCCUCCCAUCUUGGAGCAACCUUAUCAACAGGCCGCACUGCAGAAAUGAUGUUUUAUGAAAACCAAUGAGGCUGCUGCCACUCCAGCAAGGAAAAUAAUGCAAUUUCCUGUCUUAUGUAAGAAAAAGAGAAGGCUCUCUUUUUCUCCCUUGUCAUUGCUGUUCUUUUCCUAUGUACAAACAUUUUUAACUACUGCAGAUUUUCAUCCCAUUCUACUGCUUGACUGACCAUCAACUCCAUCCUAUCGAGAUUUAUUUAAGAAUGAAGAACAAAAUUUUCUGCUGAUGCCAUACCCUCACCUUUCUCAGCAAAGAAUAGUGGAGAGUAGGAAACUGUACUUUAGGCAUCCUCUUGAAUGAUUGUGUAAGUUUCUCUGGUUGGGAUGUUGUCUCUGCCCAGUUGGACCUCCUCCCUUUGUUGAAUGUGGUAUACAGCCACUCAUCUCACACCGUGAGUUGUGGCGCAGGGUGGUACCAGGAAAGAGGAUAUUCUAGGCUUUGUGUGCUGCUAGCUGGGUUCAGGCUUCACCCACUGGAAAGAACCACCAUCUGCUCUAACCAUGUAGACUUAUUGCGGCCUGGUUUCUCUGUUACAAUAAAAUUACUGUAGACCCAAAAAAAAAAAAAAAAAAAAA